AUUGAACGCUGGCGGCAGGCCUAACACAUGCAAGUCGAACGAGUGGCGGACGGGUGAGUAAUGUCUGGGAAACUGCCUGAUGGAGGGGGAUAACUACUGGAAACGGUAGCUAAUACCGCAUACCAUCGGAUGUGCCCAGAUGGGAUUAGCUAGUAGGUGGGGUAAAGGGUCACGAAGGCGACGAUCCCUAGCUGGUCUGAGAGGAUGACCAGCCAAACGGGAACUGAGACACGUGCCAGACUCCUACGGGAGGUAGCAGUGGGGAAUAUUGCACAAUGGGCGCAAGCCUUAUGCAGCCAUGCCGCGUGUAUGAAGAAGGCCUUCGGGUUGUAAAGUACUUGCAGCGGGGAGUCGUUACCCGCAGAAGAAGCACCGGCUAACUCCGUGCCAGCAGCCGCGGUAAUAC
rnacentral:rRNA from 1 species